rnacentral:rRNA from 1 species
UACGUAGGGGGCAAGCGUUGUCCGGAAUUAUUGGGCGUAAAGAGCUCGUAGGCGGUUUGUCGCGUCUGCUGUGAAAACCUGAGGCUCAACCUCGGGCUUGCAGUGGGUACGGGCAGACUAGAGUGCGGUAGGGGGUGACUGGAAUUCCUGGUGUAGCGGUGGAAUGCGCAGAUAUCAGGAGGAACACCCGAUGGCGAAAGGGCAGGUCACUGG